rnacentral:tRNA from 1 species
GUUGCCAUACUUUAAAUAAAAGAUCCGGUUUGCAAUCAGAAAUUGAAGCUAAGGGCUUCUGGCGACA